AUACGGAGGGUGCAAGCGUUAUGCGGAAUCACUGGGCGUAAAGGACGCGUAGGCGGAUUGGCAAGUCAGAUGUGAAAUCCUACAGCUUAACUGUAGAACUGCAUUUGAAACUGCUAACCUAGAGUAUGGGAGGGGGAGAUGGAAUUAGUGGUGUAGGGGUAAAAUCCGUAGAUAUCACUAGGAAUACCGAAAGCGAAGGCGAUCUCCUGGAACAUAACUGACGCUAAGGCGUGAAAGCGUGGGGAGCAAACAGGAUUAGAAACCCUAGUAGUCC
rnacentral:rRNA from 1 species